GACGAACGCUGGCGGCGUGCCUAAUACAUGCAAGUAGAACGCAGUUGCGAACGGGUGAGUAACGCGUAGGUACCUGUCUCAUUGCGGGGGAUAACUAAUGGAAACGAUAGCUCAAACAGCAUACUGUGAGAUGGACCUGCGUUGUAUUAGCUAGUUGGUGAGGUAAAGGCUCACCAAGGCGACGAUACAUAGCCGACCUGAGAGGGUGAUCGGCCAAACUGGGACUGAGACACGGCCCAGACUCCUACGGGAGGCAGCAGUAGGGAAUCUUCGGCAAUGGACGGAAGUCUGACCGAGCAACGCCGCGUGAGUGAAGAAGGUUUUCGGGUUGUAAAGCUCUGUUGUUAGAGAAGCGGUAACUAAACAGAAAGGGACGGCUAACUACGUGCCAGCAGCCGCGGUAAUAC
rnacentral:rRNA from 1 species